rnacentral:rRNA from 1 species
UACGAAGGGGGCUAGCGUUGUUCGGAAUUACUGGGCGUAAAGCGCGCGCAGGCGGUUCUUCAAGUCAGUGGUGAAAGCCCGGAGCUCAACUCCGGAACUGCCAUUGAAACUGUAGAACUUGAGGAUGAGAGAGGUGAGUGGAAUUCCCAGUGUAGAGGUGAAAUUCGUAGAUAUCAGGAGGAACACCGGUGGCGAAGGCGGGUCUCUGGGCCGAUACUGACGCUGAGGAGCGAAAGCGUGGGGAGCGAACAGG